CGUACUUGCUCACUGCACAGGGUCCUUGGCCCAGUCUGUGCUGACUCAGCCAUCUUCAGUGUCUGGGUCCCUGGGCCAGACGCUCACCAUUUCCUGCACUGGAAGCCCAGCCAACAUUGGGGCCGGUAAGGACGGUCCUCGGUGAUCCAAAGCAGCCUCUGAGCCUAUGUCCACACGUUUGGAUCAGCUUCCAAGCAGCUUCCCCUCCAUCCCUGCCCCAUCACCCAUGAGCGCGGGUGUUUGCAAGUUCUUUCUGCCAGCCCAUGCUGGCUCAGACACCCUCCUUGUCCGCAUCUCUGAAGAAUCUAAUAGACUCAUUUUCACCCUGGGAAGUGACAUCAAUGUUGUUUUAAGAAAUAUGCAUAAUGGUGCUAGUAGAAGCCAUGGAAUCCUCGGUGGUAUCUCCUGUGAUUCAAGGCAGGGUCAAAUACCACACCAGAGAUCCCAGUGCCCUGUCAUUUUCUGGAUCCAAAGAUGUUUGACCAAUGCAUAUGUUCUGACGUCUCUGGAAUCUUGUGUGCAAGGAAGUGUCUCUGUGUCAUAUAUGCCAAGAUAGUACCAAUGCUUACACAGUGCUUUAGAUCCAUGGGGAAGUGAGAGAAAAUCUCCCUCCACUCUCUAGACCUGGUGGCAUCCCCUGUCAAGAGGUUCCGGGAGUGACUUUUGUUGUCAGAUCUUCCAAAAGAUUAUUGUUGUCCUGGAAUAAGAUGAUCUGAGAGUGCCAUAUCCCUUCCUUCAGUUAUAUCUUCAGAGUGAUCCUUACUCACCCUUUGUUCAUAUUUUCGAGGGCAAACUAGCUUGUUCAGAGUUACAAAUGACUCAGUGGAGGAGAGCCUGGCUGUCUCAGUGGUUAGAGCAUGCAACUCUUGACCUUGGGUUUGUGAGUUCAAGCCCCACUUUAGGUACAGAGGUUACUUAAAAACAAACUGUUGCGGGUCACCUGGGAGGCUCAGUUGGGUGAGCGUCCAACUCUUUGAUUUCAGCUCAGGUCAUGAUCCCAGGGUGUUGGGGUCGAGUCCUGUGUCAGACUCCACACUCACUUUCUCCCUUUUUCCUGACAUAGAGCUCUGCUGAGCUCCUGAAUUCCCUGGUGCUGGGCAGUGCCUUCCCAAUGAGCAGAUCUGAACAGAUCCCUUAACAAGGAAGAUAGACAAAAUGACUAUUACACAUGCAAAGUGAUUUCCAACUUCAUAUGUCAUUGUGGUAUUACAAAUUGAACAAGGACGUACCAGAGGCCUCCCAUGUCUAUGGCUGAAGUUCAAUACAGUGACAGCACCAAUACUACCGAGGAUGUGGGGCAGCAGGAACUCUCAUUCGCUGCUGGUGGGAGUGUGAAAAGCCCCAUCACUUGGGAAGAUUCCUUGUGAGUGGUUUCUACCGCAAACAAAGCCUUAACGAUAGAAUGCAAAAAGAACAGUCCUACAGCUUACUCUAAAUGAGGUUCUUGUGUGCAAAUGAGAAUGUGCACCUAAAUGUGUGUUGCUGUCUUAUUUAUGAUUGCCAAGACUCGAAAGUGAUCAACGCACCCUUAGAAUGGGUAAACAAUAUCUGUAUGUCCACACAUGGAAUAGGACGCAGGAGAAAGACAUGAGUUAUCAGGCCACAAAACACAUGGGUGAAACUUCCAUGCAUAUGUGUUAGUGCCAGAAUCCACUGUGAAGAGUCUGCAACAGUGAGCAGGGGGGAUGAGGGGCAGGGACCCAGGCCCCAGCUCCAGGCCCUGGGUCACUGUGCAUCCCGUGUCCACCAGACGGCACUGGUGCUCCCCCAAUCCCUCAGCUGGCAGGUUCCCUCUCCUUGUGUCUAGCAGGUGCUCUUGAUGAUUUGCACAGACAGGAUUGCAAGUCUCCCAGAACACGGAGGUGAGGUCGCAAGAUGGCCUUGCAGUGGUCCCUGCUGGAUGCCCAGCUCUGCUCUGUCCCCCACCUGCAGCACCCUCAUCAGGGUUUGCUGUGUCUUGUCUCCCCUGCUCUGGAGGGACCCAGCAUGCCCACAUUACGUGUCCUCCUGCAUGAGUGUGUGUCCCCUAGGUGAGCUCCUGUCCACAUCCGGCACCCAGAGCCAGCAUGCAUCGUCUGAGCUGUACCAUUGGGACAGAUGGUUUCUAUU